CCUACGGGUGGCUGCAGUGAGGAAUAUUGGUCAAUGGACGAGAGUCUGAACCAGCCAAGUAGCGUGAAGGAUGACUGCCCUAUGGGUUGUAAACUUCUUUUAUAUGGGAAUAAAACGUUCCACGUGUGGGAUUUUGUAUGUACCCUAUGAAUAAGGAUCGGCUAACUCCGUGCCAGCAGCCGCGGUAAUACGGAGGAUCCGAGCGUUAUCCGGAUUUAUUGGGUUUAAGGGGUGCGUAGGUGGAUGGUUAAGUCAGUUGUGAAAGUUUGCGGCUCAACCGUAAAAUUGCAGUUGAAACUGGCAGUCUUGAGUACAGUAGAGGUGGGCGGAAUUCGUGGUGUAGCGGUGAAAUGCUUAGAUAUCACGAAGAACUCCGAUUGCGAAGGCAGUUCACUGGACUGCAACUGACACUGAGGCUCGAAAGUGUGGGUAUCAAACAGGAUUAGAUACCCUAGUAGUC
rnacentral:rRNA from 1 species